rnacentral:lncRNA from 1 species
UUUCUUCCUCAUCCCACGUUCUCUCUUUAUCUCUCUCUCACAUAUAUUUUAAUUUUUUCUCUACUCCUAAAACCCACUUGCUCACUCUCUUAAAAUAUCAUUGUUUUGCUCUCGAGACACACAAAAAAAGGGUGCAGAGGUUUUCCAUCACCAUCAAUCUACCAACAUGUCACCUUGGUAAUAAACACCAUCAUUUUUUGGAUAAGCCUGGAUUUUCUUUCAUAAAAUACACCAUCACACCAUCUCCAUAGGGGUACAGGAAACAAUCUCAUCUAACGGAUCCAAUUUCAUUACCAUGUACGAACUCCCUCCUUCAUGUUAUUUUUCCAUCAACCACAUGGACUCGUCAAAAACUGAACGAUAAUGCACAUGAAUCCGGCGCCAGCAACAACACAUACCACAAAAGAGCAACGCCCAUCGGCAGCCUCGCACCUCCGAUCAUCGUACCAGGCCACUGAUCCACGCAUAACCUUGUGAUGCUGCUCAAUGCUACGGUUAGGAAACACUUCUCUUACUCUUUGUCUCCAUCUUGAUAUGUUUAUUUCUCUUUGAAUUUUGUAUGAUUAAGAGGAAAUGAGAAUGAUGGUGUGUUAGAGAUUUAUUUAUGUGUGUUGUUUUUAUUACAUGAAUCAUGACUUUACAUGUUUGUUUAUGUGAGGAAGAAAUAGAGAUUGAGAGGGGAUGUGUGUUUUGAGGUUUUAUAUGAAGAAAAAGAGUAUUGUUGUGUUGUGUUUUUAAAUCAAAAAGUGCAUCAAUGAAGGUUUUUAGAGAAGAAGAUGUUGGAAGAAAGAAAAAGCAUUCUUACUGAACUUCCUCUGUUUUGAUUGUUAUUAUUAUUUAUCAUUUAUUUUCUUUUAUUAUAUUAAUGUGACACUUGUCAAAUUUUGAGUCGUUUUUUUUAAUUUUUUUUAAAAUUUGCUUUCUUUUCAAGCAUGGGCUGGUUUUUUUUGUUCUCAUUACUAGAACUUUUAUUUCUUUUAUUUUCUAAUUAACUAAGUUUUUUUUCAUUGUGUGUGUUUUUUUAUUGGUUGUUUCAAAUAGUCUCCACUAUUCUUUGUAACAUUUUAGUUUAUCUUAAUAAAAAACAAUUAAAAAUGAGAGAAAGGGGAGCUAAGUAUUUUGUUUGACCAAGUUUUUUUUUUAAUUGAAGAAAUAAUUAAUAAGGAGCAUUAAUGUCCUGAUUUAAUUUUGAAUGAUCAUGGCCUUUUUUUCUCACGAGAGGAAAGAGGGUGUGUUUAUCUAUUUUUUAUCUAUUAUUAUUUUUUUUUCUAUAUGUAUUUUGGUUAAUUAAUAGCAUAAGAAUGAACUAGGACUUUAAAAGAUAAGUUAGACUAGUGAGUUUUGGGCCUUUAGAUUUAAUUUCUAUUUCUUCACCCUUUUAUUUUAUAUAACACUCAUUGGCCUUCAUCUCAUAUUUGUUUUCGUUAUUGUUUUUUUUUAACUAAGUUAGUUAAUUAAAAAUUGAUUUAAUUAAUUGAUUUCUGUUAAUUAUAUUUUAUUAGAUCAACUAUAUGAUUACCUUAGUUUUUAACAAAUUGGUAUAAAUAAUUAAUUCUAAUUAAUUUAGUGAAACGAUUUAAUAAAUUUUUUAUCACCUAAUUUUUUCAAUUAACCAUCCCCUUGUUUCACCAUUUCAUUUUUUGUUUCAC